UACGUAGGGGGCUAGCGUUGUCCGGAAUCAUUGGGCGUAAAGCGCGUGUAGGCGGCCCCUUAAGUCCUGCGUGAAAUCCUGCGGCUCAACCGCAGACGGUCGUGGGAAACUGGAGGGCUAGAGUGCGGGAGAGGAGAGUGGAAUUCCCGGUGUAGCGGUGAAAUGCGCAGAUAUCGGGAAGAACACCCGUGGCGAAGGCGGCUCUCUGGAACGCAACUGACGCUGAGACGCGAAAGCGUGGGGAGCAAACAGG
rnacentral:rRNA from 1 species